AUUGAACGCUGGCGGCAGGCCUAACACAUGCAAGUCGAGCGAGCGGCGGACGGGUGAGUAAUGUCUGGGAAACUGCCUGAUGGAGGGGGAUAACUACUGGAAACGGUAGCUAAUACCGCAUACCAUCAGAUGUGCCCAGAGGGGAUUAGCUAGUAGGUGGGGUAAUGGGUCACCUAGGCGACGAUCCCUAGCUGGUCUGAGAGGAUGACCAGCCACACUGGAACGGAGACACGGUCCAGAUUCCUACGGGAGGCAGCAGUGGGGAAUAUUGCACAAUGGGGGCAAGCCUGAUUCAGCCAUGCCGCGUGUAUGAAGAAGGCCUUCGGGUUGUAAAGUACUUUCAGUCGGGAGGCGUUACCGACAGAAGAAGCACCGGCUAACUCCGUGCCAGCAGCCGCGGUAAUAC
rnacentral:rRNA from 1 species